CCAAGUUUUGCCCUUCUACUCCUUUUAAUACAAAAUUGCAAGUGUCAAAUUUACAAGCUUUUCAUUUCUAACUAAGAGAAAUUAAUUUCAAUAAUAUAGUCUUACAAAAUUAUCUUAGAAGCUAAUUGACCAUCAUCUGGAAGGUAUUUUCGAUCAAAAUUAAUAUCGUGCCUAUUUACAUGAACAAUAAUCAAAUGAAAACUUAAGAAAAAUGAUGAUUAUUUCAAAAGAACAAAAAAUCAAAAAAACAUACAUACAUACAAAUUAGAGAGAUUCCUGAUGAUAUAUGACAAUGGAACUACUUGUCUUGGAUUGUAUAAGACAGUCUAUGAAGAAGUUUGGUCACGGUUGUUACAAUUUUGGCCGGAAUUGGAGCGAUAAUAACAAACUAAACCUUGUUUC
rnacentral:lncRNA from 1 species